GGUUAAGUGAAUAAGGGCGCACGGUGGAUGCCUUGGCACUAGGAGCCGAUGAAGGACGGGACUAACACCGAUAUGCUUUGGGGAGCUGUACGUAAGCUAUGAUCCAGAGAUUUCCGAAUGGGGGAACCCAACAUCUUUAAUAGGAUGUUACGAUUGUGUGAAUACAUAGCACAUUCGAGGUAGACGCAGAGAACUGAAACAUCUAAGUACCUGCAGGAAGAGAAAGAAAAUUCGAUUCCCUGAGUAGCGGCGAGCGAAACGGGAAAAGCCCAAACCAGCAAGCUUGCUUGUUGGGGUUGUAGGACUCCAAUAUGGUAGUUCUUUCAGAUAGUCGAAUGACUUGGAAAAGUCAGUCAAAGAGGGUAAAAACCCCGUAGACGAAAUGUGGAAGACACCUAGGAGGAUCCUGAGUACGGCGGAACACGAGAAAUUCCGUCGGAAUCCGGGAGGACCAUCUCCCAAGGCUAAAUACUCCCUAGUGACCGAUAGUGAACCAGUACCGUGAGGGAAAGGUGAAAAGCACCCCGGAAGGGGAGUGAAAUAGAACCUGAAACCGUGUGCCUACAACAAGUCAAAGCCCGUUAAUGGGUGAUGGCGUGCCUUUUGUAGAAUGAACCGGCGAGUUACGAUUGCAUGCGAGGUUAAGUUGAAGAGACGGAGCCGCAGCGAAAGCGAGUCUGAAUAGGGCGUUUGAGUAUGUAGUCGUAGACCCGAAACCAUGUGAUCU
rnacentral:rRNA from 1 species